GCACUCCUCCAAAUGGAGACGUACACCUAUCCCAAAAGGUGAAACUUCGGUGAAAUUGCCGUCUCCCGUGUGGUAUACAUUCUUACCCUUUACAUUCUUGUAAGCUUAAUUGUUAUCUUGUUGCUUCGGCUAUCGCUUCGGCUAUUGCACUUCAUACUAGGGUUGCAUUACCUUUAGAGAAUCUAGUAAAUCGUAGGAUUAAGUGUUUGUAUCUUUCAAGAAAAGAAAAAGAAAAAGUAAAAUUUGUUAGUCGCCUGUUCACCCCCCCUUUAGUCGACCAUACCGAUCUUUCAGUAAGGGACCGCAUGUGGGAAGAAGAGAGGAUUGUGGGUCUUAUUUGCAAGUUUACCAUUAGAAGGGGUACG
rnacentral:lncRNA from 1 species